rnacentral:rRNA from 1 species
AACGAACGCUGGCGGCAUGCCUAACACAUGCAAGUCGAACGAGACCUUCGGGUCUAGUGGCGCACGGGUGCGUAACGCGUGGGAACCUGCCCUUAGGUUCGGAAUAACUCAGAGAAAUUUGAGCUAAUACCGGAUAAUGUCUUCGGACCAAAGAUUUAUCGCCUUUGGAUGGGCCCGCGUAGGAUUAGCUUGUUGGUGGGGUAAUGGCCUACCAAGGCGACGAUCCUUAGCUGGUCUGAGAGGAUGAUCAGCCACACUGGGACUGAGACACGGCCCAGACUCCUACGGGAGGCAGCAGUGGGGAAUAUUGGACAAUGGGCGAAAGCCUGAUCCAGCAAUGCCGCGUGAGUGGUGAAGGCCUUAGGGUUGUAAAGCUCUUUUACCAGGGAUGAUAAUGACAGUACCUGGAGAAUAAGCUCCGGCUAACUCCGUG